UUCAUUUCGUUUUAGUUAGUCCUACGAAUUGUUUCUUAUUUGUGAAAGCUCGUCGAACGGAAGCAAAUCUCGCUUUACCCUUUUGAAAAAUAAAGGAAAAAGUUCGUAAACAGCGAAAGAGCCCAUCGAGUUAAACGCGAGACGAGAGCAAAAAAGAGGAUUUCAAAUUAAAAGAUCAUAUACCCAAAAUGGUUGCCGACAAUAUGGAAGGAGGUAAUGUGAGUGUUGCCGCACCCACUUCAACUGGAUCUAAAUGUAAUGUUGGCAUUAAGGAGGAAUUGCCCGAGGGCAAUUUUAUUAUGGUAUCUGUUGAUAUCGAUACAACUGGCCGCCGCUUAAUUGACGAGAUUGUCCAAUUGGCUGCCUAUACUCCAGAUGAUCAUUUUGAACAAUAUAUCAUGCCGUAUAUGAAUCUAAAUCCAGCAGCUCGCCAACGCCAUCAAGUUCGUGUUAUAUCGAUUGGUUUUUAUCGUAUGCUGAAGUCCAUGCAGACCUACAAGAUUAUUAAAUCCAAAUCGGAGAUAGCUGCUCUUAAGGACUUUCUCAAUUGGCUGGAGCAUUUGAAAUUGAAUAAUCCGAAAUCAGACGGUAUUGUCUUGCUUUAUCAUGAGGAACGUAAAUUUAUACCCUACAUGAUUUUGGAGUCGCUCAAAAAAUAUGGUCUUCUGGAAAGAUUCACCAAAUCAGUGAAAUCAUUUGCCAAUUCUUUGAAUUUGGCCAAAGCCUCAUUGGGGGAUAACAAUUCCAAGCACUACAGUCUACGCAAAUUGAGUAAGAUUCUCUCAUUGAAGGCAUCAUCUACCACUAGCACCUCCUCUACUACCAAGGAGGAGACUUCAUCAAGCAGCGGUGAUACUGUUGCUGAUAGCACAAGCAACGCUGAUUCCAGUAUCGGUAUCGAGAAGUCAAAUGCACCAAAAAAUAAUCUAGAAUACGAGCGAGAAAUAUUCGAUGGCAAUGCCAGUGUCCGAGCUAAGCUUACAUUCAAUGUGGCUUUGCAAUUGAGCAAUUCGAAAUCUGCCAUCGAGGUGGAGUCUUCAGAGGCUUUGGAUAAUCUAUUCAAUGCCUUGCAACCCUUUGCCAAGCCCAUUGAGGCUGAUAUACGUGAGCUAGACACUCAAAAUGAGAAUUUGGAACGUCAAAAUUCGUUUCGUCCAGUGUUCUUGAAUUAUUUCAAGACAACCCUAUAUCACAGGGUUCGUGCUGUCAAGUUUCGUAUCGUUUUGGCAGAGAACGGUUUUGAUUUGUCAUCUCUCAAAACCAUUUGGACGGAAAACAGCAGCGCAGGAGUGGACAAGGCAUUGCAGUCGAUAACUAGUUUGAAGCCUGAAGAUAAAUCUGAGCUUGUAGAAUUGCUGGAUAGCUAUUUCGAUCCCAACAAGACCAUUAUUAAGCCGGUCAUUAAAACCAACAAUCGCCGUCGUAGCCGUCGCACAAAUGGUGCAUCAUUGUCCAAAAGUGGAACAACUGGCGGUACUUCUAGUUCUCGUUCAGCCAGCACUGAAUUCGGAGCUGGUGGCGAUAAAUCGCAAAGUUUGUCUUCGGUGCCAGAUUCCACCACCACGAAGACCCCAUCGCCAAACAAAGCAGCCAAAAACGGUGGAUCAGUACGUCCACGUAAGCGUAGUUCUCGUCGUAGUUUGCCCUCAAGUGAGGUUAAAGCUACGUCAGUUCUUGAAGAAUCGUCUUCCAUAAAGGCGCAGCUGAACAAUACUGUUCCCGCUAUAUCUGUGGGAACUUCCUCUCCACCUACCAUAACCCAAGUGCCCAUUGCGGCCUCGAACUGAGAGCUGGGACAAUCCUGGCACUCUGUAAAUAUAAUGAAGUUGGCGGCUAGCUGCAGUGCAGUUCCAACCAACUUCAAUCAAAAAAUUUUUUUUUUGUUGAAUGGAACGAUGUAUCAAGAAUAACGUAAAAAAAUGCUGAAGUAAUCGACACACUUUAAAUGAAUCGGAAGAAGUUACCUAAAUGAGUAUGCGAACUAUUUUCCUUAUGCAAGAACUAACACAGAUUGGAAACAAGGCUCUAAAUUCCAAGUGUACUUCCACACUCACAAUAGUCAGCCAAGACAUAAGCAAAUCUCCAAAUGCCUUCUAAAUAUUGAACAAGUUAGUGAUACACAAACCACAAAAGGGACAAGAAAUAACAUCAAACACUGUAUAAGCUUCAAUUGGUAGUGCUGAAGAAAUGGAUUCAAAAUAGAAAAAACAAAAACAACAACAACGACAACAACGUACACAUACAACAAAUUGGUGGAUCAUGAGGGGCAAGAAUGCUGUUAAGUUGAAGAUGACGGAUUAAAUCAACACUAAUUACACACAUUAAGUUGAAUGAUGACGGAUUAAAUCAACACUAUAUCUACACAAAAAACUGUAACAAUAUGAUCAAUCGUUGCGUUUAGACAUAGUUUUCCAUUUGUUAGCUCUGCAACUAAAAGAAAAAAAAGAACGAUUGGAAAAAUAUGAGUCAGAUAAACGCUUCGAUAUACAUUAAUUUUACAUUGGGCAAGCCUUAACACAAAAUUAACACUAAUCUAAGCCAAAAAAAAAAACAAAAAAAAAUCGAAAAAAAUGUUAAUGGUGGAUGGAGGGCUAAAAUCAAACAUAUCCAAGUGCUCAUGCCCAAUGUAAAAAAAAUAUUGAAAUAUUGAAGCUUAGACACACUAACUUAGAAGGAAAGGAGAAACUAAAAGCUAAUCACACACGCACACCUACACAUUGUUUUUUCAAGAUGUAUUUCAUAAGUGUUUCAUGUUUCACAAAAAUCCCAAACACAUUCUUCCAUCUUGGUCUAUAUAUAUGAAAUUGUAAAAAAACACGUCAAAUCUAUCUCGACAUUGUAUGAAUAACUUGAAAUAAAACUGUGAUGGCUAUACUGUAUGAAAAA